CCUGAAGGCGGCCGUGAUCGUGGCGUGCGCCUUCACCGCCUUCCUCAUCGCCUGCCUGCUGCUGCGCGUCUUCAGGUCCGGAAAGAGGUUGAAGAAGACCCGCAAGUAUGACAUCAUCACCACCCCCGCUGAGCGCGUGGAAAUGGCCCCGCUGAAUGAAGAGGAUGAUGAGGAUGAAGACUCCACAGUAUUUGACAUCAAAUACAGGUAAAACCUGUUUCCCAGCGUGUUGGCAUCCUGUGGAAAGUUGGUCAGCUGCACCUGGGCGGGAAGGAUCUGGAAGCUGUCUUGUCCGAGGUGUUGAAACCAAAACAAACAUUAUUUAUGAAACUGGCACAUUUGUGUGUGUCGAACGUCUGCUCAGAACGUCACCGCAAGAGAAUCGCCUCUCCCUUCCUCUGGACACCACUUUAAAAUGUUGCCCUUCUUUCCUCCUCAAGGGGCUUCUGCCUUGCCAAGGGGCACAGGGUAGAAACGUGUUGACUUAAAAAAUAUUAACUUGAAAGCAACUGUUGACAAAAGUAAAAGAGAUCAGAAGUUAUGAAGAACCUCAAGAAGGAUAUCCAUCUGAGCAGUGAGGCGUUCUGACAUUCUGCUCUCCUGGAUCUGUGACGUGCGAGAUGUCUAAUCCUGUGGACUUUGGGUUUGGUCAGGAUCUGGCCUUCUGUUGGGAAUGGCUGUGUUCAGAGUGAGAGUCGUUGGAGCUGGUCAGCCCAUAGCAGAAGUAUAUACAUGUUUGUGGCUCCUGUUCUUUUUCUUCUUUUGUUUAAAGGGUUCAGCAGAACUGGGCAUGGCUAGUUCAUAAAGGAUUUUGAAUAUCAGGGAAAAAAAUAUAUGUGUGUAUGUCUGUACCUCUAAAAUAAUUUCUUCUUGUCUGAAGGAAAAAGAAUGCACUAGAGGCAGCCUUUGGUUAGUAACAUCCUGUGUGUCUCUGUGCCUGUCAUAGUUUUUACAUUGUCGGUCUUAGACAUCUAAUUGCAAAAUAUCACUGUGGUCAUUUCAAUGCAUGAUGGUUUGGUUGGCUGAAAAAGCACACUGUCCAGGCUGGACUAGAAUCCCGCUGACUCAGGGGGUACCCCAGCUGUGGGUCAGGGGUUCGGGUGGCUUCUGGAAGCAGGGACUUGGGUUGGCUUCUCAGGUUGAUCGGGGUUCCCGUUUCACUGUUCCCAGGGUGGAUGCUCCUGCUAAAGCUGACUGACAGUGCCUUUGGGGCCCUGGGACUCUGUUCUCCCCGGAAAGGUGUUUUGUACUUUAAAAAAAAGCUCUUUUCUGGCUUCCUGCAGGGUUUGUGUAUCGGUCUGUUAAUUGUCUGCACCAUUGCCUUGGAUGAAAACUCUAGCCUUUCCCAGCUGAGCCAGCCCUUUUUCAGUUGCCAGAACUGAAGCCCUGGCCUGUAUGGAAGGCACAUUGGCCCCUGCAGGAAAGGCGGGUUGGGGGGGUGGAGGUGGGGGUGACCCUGGGGGAGACCACUAUGGGAAGAGCACGUGCUGUAUGGAACGCACCCUGCCUGCUCCUCCCUGAUUUCAUUUCCUUUGUUGAUUUUUCCUUUUCCUCUUUUCUGUCCUGUUUGCCAGAGGGAUGGGCCCGCUUUCUCUCUCCCCACCACAGUGUCUUCAUGGGCCAGACUGGUGACUACAUGGCAGCUGUGCACCCUCUGCCCUUUGGACUGGAACUGCCGCUCACACUUGCCUUUUCCACAAGCGCCGCAGAAUGAUCUGCCGGAAGGCUGGGUCCUCUGCCUUACAUGUACAGACCGGCUCAGGCUGCCCGGUGCUCACCGCCAGGCCUGGCAGACGCAGCGGACAAUGACCUUCCAAAUUGUGGAGCUUCAACACUACAGGCUCUUAAAUCAAACAAACAAACAAAAA